ACAACCAACUUUCUCUCUUUCUCACUCAGAACAAUCUUCAGGAUCCUAACCAGUCUGGCUUCAAACCUGCACACUCUACUGAAACUGCCCUCAUUGCAGUUACAGAGAAGCUUCAUGCAGCAAAAGCUACCAACCUGUCAUCUGUUCUGAUUCUCCUUGAUCUAUCUGCUGCUUUCGACACGGUCAACCACAGCACUCUCCUUUCCAUCCUCACCAGCCUUGGAAUCAUUGGCUCUGCAUGGCAGUGGUUUGCAUCGUACCUGGAGGACCGUUCCUACCAGGUUUCAUCCCGCAUCUCAGCAUGUCUCAAUGUGGAUGAGUUCUCAUCACCUAAAACUCAACCCCAGCAAGACUGACCUUCUGUUCAUCCCAGGAACUAUGAGCCUUCACAACAAUCUCUCCAUCUCUUUUGACAACUCACUGGUCACUCCAUCGGCAGAAGCACAAAGCCUUGGUGUAGUAAUGGAUGACCAGUUAUCAUCCUCGAGCCAUAUUGCGAAUCUGACUCAGUCAUGCAGAUUUCUCCUGUACAACAUCCGAAGAAUUCGACCGUUUCUGUCUCAGGAAGCCACUCAGGUGCUUGUGCAGUCUCUUGUCAUCUCAAGACUUGACUACUGCAACUCUCUACUGGCUGGUCUUCCACUGAGAGCCACCAAACCACUACAAUUAAUUCAGAAUGCUGCAGCACGACUCGUCUUCAAUCUUCCGAAGUUCAGUCAUGUGACUCCUUAGGUUUGCCUAAUUAAAGAACCGCCCUCUGCUCUUGUCACCACAAUAAUUGGCAUCUCCGUGCUGCUGCUCAUAAGAGGCGUGGACCUGUUUUUCUCUCAGUUCAUCACUGACAUGGGAUCUUACACCUUACACCCUCGGCUGUUGUAACAAAUUGUGAAGCUUGUGAAGCUUAUAGAACAAUUUAAAGAAAAAAAGGCAAACUCUGAUGAUUCACAGAGGGUUUUUUGGGUGAUGGAACAUUUAAAUACCUUCACCCCACCACCCCCUUUCUUCUCAACAACCCCAAACCCCCCCUGACACACAGGUUCUUAGAAAGCGAUGUUCACAGCAGGCAAGGAAACCAAAAGAUCAAGGGAUGAAGAGAAGCCCACCGAGCCCCCCCAUGUCAUCCUCUCCCUAUCCCCCAAAAUGCCUAAGCUCUUCUCAGCCACCAAACCCACUGCACCGUCUGCACCAGCUGCACCCCCAUCGCUUCACCUCCCCGGAGCCCCAGAGCAGGCAGGCAGCCCCCCGCCACAACCACCACACAGCACUACACACACCACCGGGAGAGAGAGAGAGAGAAUCAAACACCUGACUGUAAACUAUGAGAUUGGGGUGAAAAUAAAUGCUUGAAGGAUUAUUGUUUAAAUUUUCACUGUUUUAAAAACACAGAUAUUGAGCUUAAAACUGCAAUUCUGUAAAAUGUAAUUCUCUGUGAAUACAGGAAAAAUGUAGCUAAUAUCAAGUAAUGUCAAGCAGACUUCCAUAAUAGCAAAGAAUGGUAAAUAAAUAUACUUUUAUAUAA